rnacentral:lncRNA from 1 species
GCAACACUGACAGUUUUAAGUUGUGGCGUGAUCAAAAGUCACAGCUGUGGUUAGGGAUAUUUAUACGUUGGGUAUUAGUAGGAUGGAAGUGAUGAAGGGAGAGAGGCCAAUUAGGCCAUGAUUGCUCUGAGGAUGGGAAGUACGUGAAUGUGGAAUCUUGGGGCAAUAGAACGGACAGAACGUAGUGUAGCAAAGCUUCUCUCCAUAACGUUCCUCUGGCCAAGUGAGAAACAUGAAGAUUAGAAGUGCAGCACAUGCCUUCUGAAGAAGCCAGGCAUGGAACAGUUCUGGGAACACAGCACUGAUAAAACUCUUAGGGAUGAAUUUACCUAUACCUGUGUUUCAGCCUUGUGAUCUGAUUCCACAGGAUGCGAGCAUAUGCAGUGGAAACAUUGUGUUAUUCCAUCCUCAGAAGAAAAGAGACAGUAUUAUACUUCGUCUCUUGCUAGUACAGAACUACCACAGAAACAUACCAGGAAAGCUGAGAGAAUCCACAGAUCCUUUGAAGGAAGUGGCUUGCUGUUGCAGGCUCCUUGAGACAGCCAAAAACUGACCUCCAGUACAAUUUUCAGGAGAAGUGGCAAGAAUGGACAUCCACCUCCCACCAUGUGAUGACAUGGUAAGAAGGCCCUUGCCAGAUGCUGGCACAUUGAUACCAAACUUCCCAACCUCCAGAACUGUGAGCCAAUAUAUUUCUAGUCAUUAUAAAUUACCUAGUCUGCAGUUUUGUUAUAGCAGCACAGAACAAAGAAAUACAGAUCCUCCCUGACUUAAUGUUGAGGUUAUGUUCUAAUAAACUCAUUUUAACUUGAAAAUAUUUUAAGUUCAAAAUGCAUUUAAUAGAUCUAAACUACAGAACAUCAUAGCUUAGCCUAUCUUAAACAUGCUCAGAACACUUACAUUAGCCUACAGUUGGGCAAAAUCAUCUAACAUCAAGCCUAUUUUCUAAUAAAUCUUAAAUAAUUUUUAAAUAUUUCGUGUAAUUUAUUGAAUACUGUACUGAAAGUGAAAAACAGAAUGGUUGUGUAGGUUCUCACCAUUAAUUUACAGAGUUGAAAGUCCACUGGACUUGAAGCUUGAGACAUUAAACUAAAAUCUAUUGCUGGGUGAUAAGGAUGCUACAACAACUGGGUUAUCAAUUUCUUUCUCUUCUGAUGAAACUUCAGAAUAGUUGGUAGAAGGCACUGAGACACUGACAUAUUGAUUUAGCAGGCAUAGUGUUCUUCAGAAAGACAUCGAGUAUUGGUUAUUUAUCCUCAUGUUACAUAUUUUACAUCAUUUGUUACUUCUCCCAUAUUUCUGAUUAUUUUAAAAAUUUUUGUCAAAAAGAAAUGAUCAUCAGAUUUGAGAAGAUCUAUCUGCCCUUAAGUUCACUAACAUUUACCAUCUAUACUUUGUUAAGAUCAUACUGUAAACAUUUUUAUUCAUUUAUUAUACUUUUCAGUUCUAGCAUUUUCAAUUUUUGUUUUUUCACAGUUAACAUUUCUCUUUUGAAAUUUCCUCUCUGUUGACUCAUUAAAACCAUUUUUUUCCAUAUUUGGCCUGGUUUGGUUUUUCUGUUGCUCUGACAUUGUGGAGAAAUUGUUCCCAGGAAGAUAAUGUCAUCUCUGAAUAACGAUAUAUAGUCAAUUUUCAUGCUGCUGAUAAAGACACACCUGAAACUGGGUAAUCUAUCAAGAAAAAGAGGUUUAAUGGACUCACAGUUCCACAUGGCUGGGGCUGCCUCACAGUCAUGGCAGAAGGCAAUAGGCAAGUCUUACGUGGCGGCAGACAAGAGAAAAUGAGACCCAAGCGAAAGGGGAAACCCAUAAUAAAACCAUCAGAUCUUGUGAGACUUAAUUACUACCAUGAGAACAGUAUGGGAGAAACCACCCCCAUAAUUCGAUUAUCUCCCACCAGGUCUCUCCUACAACAUGUGGGAAUUUUGC